rnacentral:rRNA from 1 species
UACGAAGGGGGCUAGCGUUGUUCGGAAUUACUGGGCGUAAAGCGCACGUAGGCGGACUAUUAAGUCAGGGGUGAAAUCCCGGGGCUCAACCUCGGAACUGCCUUCGAUACUGCGGGUCUUGAGUCCGGGAGAGGUGAGUGGAAUUCCUAGUGUAGAGGUGAAAUUCGUAGAUAUUAGGAAGAACACCAAUGGCGAAGGCGGCUCACUGGCCCGGUACUGACGCUGAGGCGCGAAAGCGUGGGAGCAAACAGG